CAAAGUAGAGCUUGUUAGUAAGUAUUUCAUUUACACUGAAGUGUAUUUCGUGCAAUUCGAAUUAUUUUGA
rnacentral:tRNA from 1 species